GGGGCUGUAGCUCAGUGGCAGAGCGCUUGCCUAGCUUGCGGGAGGCACUGGGUUCCAUCCCCAGCACCACA
rnacentral:tRNA from 1 species